AUGUCCACGCCGCCGUCGGAGGAGGGAGGAGGAGGAAGCCUUCCACUACCGGCGGACUGCGAAGGCUUGAUCAGCGAGAAGACGUGGGCGUUGCUGGGUGAGGAAAGGCGUCGUAUGAUCAUGGAUACCCUGCACCGGACGGAGGCGGAUAACGUGGAGGCACCGCGGGGACGCUUCGACGAGUUCCACUUCUCUCCUGUCUCUCCUGGCUUGGGUAAGGCCAUGAUGCCGUCCGAUGGUUACUGGGAAGCCGUGCGCCGGCUGAAGGAGGAGGAUGCGCGCCGGCAGGAAGAGGAGGAUGAUCGCCGCGAGAAGAGAGAGGAGCUCGCACGCCAGCAGAGGGAGGAGCUUGUGCGCCAGCAAAUGGAGGAGCACGCGCGCCAGAAGAGCGAGGCGAUGCUGCUGCAGACUAAGCCAGUCGAUGACCCCAGCCAUUAG
rnacentral:rRNA from 1 species